rnacentral:lncRNA from 1 species
GAGAGGCAGGCGGGCCCUAGCUGCAGCGUCAAGAAGGCUGACCUGUGUGGAUGCAUUAUCAGGGUGGAUGCAACACAGGGCUGCCAUGCUCUCUGGUAUCAGUUUGGAAGGCACUGGCAGGAUGGGAAGGCAGGCGGGGAGUGAGGUCAGGGGGCCUAUCCUUCCACUGCCUCCCUGCUGCUCCCUGACUGAUUCAGAGCCAGUCUUGGUGCUCUGUGUUCACCUGGUUCAUCUGAGGAGCUGCAUCUACCCUGCCCAUGCCAUAGAUCCUGCCCUGUUUGCUUCUCCUGUUGCUGCUAGUGGACAUGAGAAGGACAGAAUAACGGGCUCCCAGAUUCACAAGCCCCACCAAGAGGAUCACCCCAGGAACGCUUGGAGGCUGAGGAGUUCACUGAGGCUACUGCAUCUUGAGACUCAGGAUGAAGACCCAGCUUGGGGCUGUCAAAGGUUUUUUGCAUGUCUGACACCCAUGACUCCACCUGGACCUUAUGGCUCCACCCAGAAGCAAUUCAGCCCAACAGGAGGACAGCUUCAACCCAUUACGAUUUCAUCUCUGCCCCAACCACUCAGCAGCAAGCACCUGUUACCUGUCCACCCCCACCCCUUCCCCCAAACUGCCUUUGAAAAAUCCCUAACCUAUGAGCUUUGAAUAAGAUGAGUACGAACUUCAUCGCCCACGUGGCGUGGCCGGCCUCGUGUCUAUUAAAUUCUUUUUCUACUACAA